AUUGAACGCUGGCGGCAUGCCUAACACAUGCAAGUCGAACGGCAGCACAGCAGUAGCAAUACUGUGGGUGGCGAGUGGCGGACGGGUGAGGAAUACGUCGGAAUCUGCCCAGUCGUGGGGGAUAACUAGCCGAAAGGUUAGCUAAUACCGCAUACGACCGAGAGGUGAAAAGCGGGGGACCGCAAGGCCUCGCGCGAUUGGAUGAGCCGACGUCGGAUUAGCUAGUUGGCGGGUAAAGGCCACCAAGGCGACGAUCCGUAGCUGGUCUGAGAGGAUGAUCAGCCACACUGGAACUGAGACACGGUCCAGACUCCUACGGGAGGCAGCAGUGGGGAAUAUUGGACAAUGGGCGCAAGCCUGAUCCAGCAAUGCCGCGUGUGUGAAGAAGG
rnacentral:rRNA from 1 species